rnacentral:rRNA from 1 species
GAUGAACGCUGGCGGCGUGCCUAAUACAUGCAAGUCGAGCGAACAGACGAGGAGCUUGCUCCUCUGACGUUAGCGGCGGACGGGUGAGUAACACGUGGCUAACCUACCUAUAAGACUGGGAUAACUUCGGGAAACCGGAGCUAAUACCGGAUAAUAUAUUGAACCGCAUGGUUCAAUAGUGAAAGACGGUUUUGCUGUCACUUAUAGAUGGAUCCGCGCCGCAUUAGCUAGUUGGUAAGGUAACGGCUUACCAAGGCGACGAUGCGUAGCCGACCUGAGAGGGUGAUCGGUCACACUGGAACUGAGACACGGUCCAGACUCCUACGGGAGGCAGCAGUAGGGAAUCUUCCGCAAUGGGCGAAAGCCUGACGGAGCAACGCCGCGUGAGUGAUGAAGGUCUUCGGAUCGUAAAACUCUGUUAUUAGGGAAGAACAAAUGUGUAAGUAACUAUGCACGUCUUGACGGUACCUAAUCAGAAAGCCACGGCUAACUACGUG